UUCAUUGCAUAGUGUCUUCCCUGUGCUUCCACCACUCCACCUCUACCACAAUCAGAGAACAACCGAGCUAACACAUUUCCAUCUCAACAAAGUUCACAGAUUCUUCCCUUUUCAUGUCGAUCAAGUUCAUAGAUAAAUCCCUAAUUUCUUUCCUGUGCUACCACCAUUUGUAUUAUCUCAACUUGUUUGGUCAAGUUUAUUUGGAGUUUAUGGCAGGCACACCACCAAAACUGAAUUUUGAAGUUAACCAUUUUUUUGUCUAGGUUAUAUUCUACAUGAUGUUUUUAUCUUUGAUAUUUCAUUUUUCUUGUGGGAAGGAGGAGGGGGUUUUGUAGCCCUAUAUUAUUGAGUCAUUUGAGCUUUGACUUAUUGUUAAUUUCUGUUUUGUUGGUAGUGGAUUAAAGUGAGGAUAUAAAAAUGUAGUGUUCAAGUUGAUAUGAUCAAUGUUCUUGCUUUCUACUAAAUCACCUCUGUAAUCUUGCUGGCAUCGUCUUCAUGUUC
rnacentral:lncRNA from 1 species